UACGAAGGGGGCUAGCGUUGCUCGGAAUCACUGGGCGUAAAGCGCACGUAGGCGGACUCUUAAGUCGGUGGUGAAAUCCUGGAGCUCAACUCCAGAACUGCCUUCGAUACUGAGAGUCUCGAGUCCGAGAGAGGUGAGUGGAACUGCGAGUGUAGAGGUGAAAUUCGUAGAUAUCGCCUGGAACGCCGACGGUGAAAACAGCUCGCUGGGGGUGUUCUGACGCUGAGACACGAAAGCCAGGGGAGCGAACGGG
rnacentral:rRNA from 1 species